UACGGGGGGAGCAAGCGUUGUUCGGAUUUACUGGGCGUAAAGGGCGCGUAGGCGGCCACCGCAAGUCGACUGUGAAAUCUCUGGGCUUAACCCAGAAAGGUCAGCCGAUACUGCGGGGCUAGAGUGCAGAAGGGGCAACUGGAAUUCUCGGUGUAGCGGUGAAAUGCGUAGAUAUGACACAGAACACCGAUUGCGAAGGCAGCUGACGAAACUGUAACUGACGCUGAGGCUCGAAAGCGUGGGGAUCAAACAGG
rnacentral:rRNA from 1 species